GGCUGUGAAACAUGCCAGAUUCAAACAGCCUACUAGACUUGAAAACACCUGGAACAUGCUACAGGCAGGCUACUGAGGACCCACAUUUUGAGGAUGUUGCCAAGGAUGAAACUUGCCCUUUUAUCUAAAGUUGGGUAACUCUGCAGUUACCCAUCCUCAGCAAAGCAGGACUGACUGAGGGGAAGAAAAUGAUUAAAGUUGCAUCAUCAGUGCGGCCCAGUCUCCCAUCUCUGCAGUCCAACUCCUCAUUAUUGAACACAAUACAGCCAAGAGGCAGUCAUUGUGCAGUCCACUCUCCCCCUGCACCCAGUUGCUUCCUCAAAGAGAAUCCAGCAUGAAGUUACACAUCAAGAAUGGCAGUUUUACGGCUCAUCCUAAACCGUUGGAUCAGGUGCAGGACUCUACACUUGCUCUUGUUAAACUUCAUUUGGUUACUUCCUGCCCAGCUCU